GCAGUUUCAUGUCAGCUUCAGAAGGAAAGUGAAGAUGGGGCAACUUGUAACUUCCAAGUUGACGAUUUUGAAGAACGACAUAACUUUCUUGUAAUGUGGAAUGAAGCAGCGUCGUUCAUGUCGUUCAUUUGAAUAUAGAGGUUUUCUUUGUAAACAUGCAAUCCUUGUUCUUCAGAUGUCUGGUGUUUCCAACAUACCAUCCCCCUAUAUAUUAAAAAGAUGGACAAAAGAUGCAAAGAUCACUCAAAGUGUUAGCGAAAUAUCUAAUGGUCUUCCUUAUAGGGUACAACGUUUCAAUGAUUUAUGUAAGCGAGCCAUCAAACUGUGUGAAGCGGGGUCUUUAUGUGAAGAAGCUUAUCAUAUUGCAUUCCAGGCAUUAGAAGAAGUCUUGAG
rnacentral:misc_RNA from 1 species